rnacentral:rRNA from 1 species
UUUUAUGGAGAGUUUGAUCCUGGCUCAGGAUGAACGCUGGCGGCGUGCCUAAUACAUGCAAGUCGAGCGAACGGACGAGAAGCUUGCUUCUCUGAUGUUAGCGGCGGACGGGUGAGUAACACGUGGAUAACCUACCUAUAAGACUGGGAUAACUUCGGGAAACCGGAGCUAAUACCGGAUAAUAUUUUGAACCGCAUGGUUCAAAAGUGAAAGACGGUCUUGCUGUCACUUAUAGAUGGAUCCGCGCUGCAUUAGCUAGUUGGUAAGGUAACGGCUUACCAAGGCAACGAUGCAUAGCCGACCUGAGAGGGUGAUCGGCCACACUGGAACUGAGACACGGUCCAGACUCCUWCGGGAGGCAGCAGUAGGGAAUCUUCCGCAAUGGGCGAAAGCCUGACGGAGCAACGCCGCGUGAGUGAUGAAGGUCUUCGGAUCGUAAAACUCUGUUAUUAGGGAAGAACAUAUGUGUAAGUAAC